CCAGUGUGACUAAAUAAGAUAUUAUUCAAGUUGUUCGCAUAAUCCUAAAUCAAUCUAGUAUUUGUUGUACAAUUCAUCCGCAGCACUCUUGGGAGUAAGGAAAACAAGAAUUAUAAAGAGAAGAUAAACAAUGCAGAAUACAAAUACUUGACACUAUCCACCCAUUUCCAACUAUAACGGUUCUUAAUUUCAGACAUUCAUCAACUAAGAUAAUAGACCCAAAUUCCUACCAAACUUAUACUUUUAAAUUAGGAAAAGUUGAAAGCAUUUCAGUUCCAAUUAUCGACAGGAUAUAUACAAUGUAUCAUGUCUUAAAUUACCCUACACUUUCACAAUUCUAAGAAUACCCAAAUCAAGCAGUGCAA
rnacentral:lncRNA from 1 species